UACAGAGGGUGCAAGCGUUAAUCGGAAUUACUGGGCGUAAAGCGUGCGUAGACGGUUAUGUAAGUCAGAUGUGAAAGCCCCGGGCUCAACCUGGGAAUUGCAUUUGAGACUGCAUAGCUAGGGUGCGGAAGAGGGAAGCGGAAUUUCCGGUGUAGCGGUGAAAUGCGUAGAUAUCGGAAGGAACACCAGUGGCGAAAGCGGCUUCCUGGUCCAGCACCGACGUUCAGGCACGAAAGCGUGGGGAGCGAACAGG
rnacentral:rRNA from 1 species